rnacentral:lncRNA from 1 species
UAAAAAAGGGUGGAGUAAGGUGACUGGGGCAAUUAUAUCUUGCUAUUUAACCCCCCGGAUACUUCAAUGAAUUCUUUGUAAAGGUCAGAGUUACCAAUCACAUGGAAAAGCCAGUGGGCUAUGAAACAGGUGUAUUUUCUCAGAGGUAGGUUAGGUAAGACAAAAUUAUCAGUAUUAGGGUAAGUUCUUUAUUAGUUAAAUUAUUUAUUGCUCCAGGUUAAAUUAAGUAUUUGAGAUAGUGCUUCAUAAUAAAUAAAUAGAUACUAUGAGGAUUCAGACAAGAAUGUUUGAAGACUGACUGAAGUGAAAGCUUCAUGGAUUGUAAAAUAAAUAAGAGUUAUUAGGGAGAGGAAAGAAGGUAGAAGGCUGUUCCCCAGGAGCAAUUUUAGUUUGUGCCUGGUUUCACCGAAUAAGGAAAGGAAGGCUGAGACAGAAAGGGAACCAACUGAUCUCUAUGCAUCCUGGGAUGGAGAUGUUAAUACCCAUCAGGAAGAUAAGAAAGUUAUUCAAGCUACGCUGAAUUGAAAAGUCCCUGGUGGCCUCAGAGAGACAACUCUGUGUCAACAGAGCCUCAGGUGAACUACUCCGGACUCCUGAAGCAACACCAUCCUGCACAUGGCUUCCCAUCUUUCUGGGAUGGGCAAGAGCAAAGGCCCUCUAAACCAAGGAAAUAAAGCCCUCCUUCUACUACUGUAGGUACA